rnacentral:lncRNA from 1 species
GAGAGAGAGAGAGAGAGAGAGAGUAAGGCUACUAUGCUAUCGGAAGUACGGAGCAUUUCGUGCUUCCAGUUCAUUUUCGAUGUUGUGACUUUCGAAUCGUCGAUCGACUCCGUUAAACUUGAUCUAGAGUAUUUGAAGUAUCUAGAAAAUAAAUUAUGCAAUUUUUUGAUAUUAUUUGCCUAGUGAACAAAGGGACUCAAAAUCAACGGCUGAAAAUAAAAAUCUUACAAAAUGUGAUAGUAUGACGUUAAAAUUUUAGAUCAAAAAUAUUGAUCUUGUUUUAUAUAGCAUAAAGAAUUUUCUAUCAAAAUUUCACGUGAUUUGGAUAUUUCUACACCGUUAAACUUGCAAACGGCUCACUGUGAUCAUUAAAAUUAUUGAUUUUGGCCCCUUCGAUCACUAGGCAAAUGAAAUAAAAAAAUUAUAAAAUUUAUUUUCUAGAUACUUCAAAUACUCUAGAUCAAGUUUAACGGAGCCGAUCGACGAUUCGAAAAUCACAAUAUCGAAAAUGAGCUAGAAGCAUGAAAGGAUCCGUACUUCCGAUAGUAUAGUA